GCAAUGUGAGUGGGGCUGGUAUCAGCCUCAGCACGGGAUCCAGGAUGUUUGGGGAUGCAAGGAAAAGGUGUCCAGCAUAGGAAGGUGAUGCAUUUUAGCCCCCUAUGACAGCAAUUUCCUACACAAUAGCAGGAGGGAUUUACAAGCCAUAUCCCCCCAGAUGCUUUAUUUUUGAGGUCUCUGGCAUUAGAACAGGCCAUAGGAUGCAGGAGCUGUUCCUACCCAAGGAGACGAAUUCUCCCCAGCUUUUUUUGCCUGUGAGAGCCUCAGUGUGUGCAAACGUGGGUGCAUGUGCCCAUGGCAGCCACAUCCCCUGCUUCGCUGCUUUGUGAAGAGAAUUGGAUUUUUAAAGAGGUUCCUCUUGGCAAGGGGCUCUGCUGGCAGAGAUGAAGGAAGAAAUGAUCAAACCCAGAGGCUCGUACCUCUUGUCUCCUCCAUUCGGCCCCUUUUGCAAUGCGGUGGAGGAGCUCUGCUUUUAAACAAAAGCUAAACACUGUCAGUGGGAGAGCAAAGCAGGAUCUCUCUGAAAUGCAAAUGCCUCUUUCAGAGCAGCCAGCUUUGAAAACAGGGAUCCUGCUGACUCAUGUUUAGAAACCGGGGAAGAGAGCUGCUUUGGUGCCCUGUCUGCCCUGCUCUCAUCUUCAGCCCCAUCUCAUCCUGGGGAUGUAUACGUAAACCCUGGGGUAAAGCAGGCUGCGAGGAUGAAAUGGUGCCAGUGGGGAUGAACCUGCAGCCCAGCCAGCAUUUGCUUUAUGAAGCCACGGGCUGCCCUUCCAACAAAGCAGGAGCAGCACAGUAUCAGCACAGCCCUCUUCAUGUCCAUGAGUGCUGGGAUCCAGGCAGGCAGAUCCUCGUGCCUGCAGGUCUCAUGCGAUUGCCAUUUAACAGCUGCUCCUGGCCUUUGCAUUUACAUGAUGGAAGGAGUGGGCCCCUGACCUGUGUGCUUCCAGAAAGGUGAAGGAGAAGGGAAGAACGAGAGAGAAACCAAAGGAGGAGGUUGCCAGCCCAGGGUGCUGAGAGCUCCCAUGUAACCCAGCUCUGCUGCUAGAUUACACUCUGACCUACACCUUUAUGCACCAUCCACCAGUGUGGUGUCCCACCCGUUCUGCUUGCUGAUGCUGAAAGGCAGGAAGCAGAAGGGAUGCUCCCAAGGGGCUGGCAUCUCUUCAAAUCAGAGACUCUGGCAACUGUUGCCUCACUGAAGAAAUUGCUAUCAUUUUUCUAAGUGGUUGGGUCAAUACAGGGGUGUCACUUGGGAAAUUUGGGAUUUAUUUCUCCCCACCAUCAACCCACUGGGAAUAAGUGACGCAGGCAGGUAGAUCCUCACUCAUAGAGCUGCUGCGGUGAUGAAGAUGAAGCAGUUCAGUACUGGUCCCAGUAAUGAUCCCUGAGGGAUGCCACUGUCAGUGAUCUCCAUCCACUGAGCCACUGAGCUCUGCUCUCUGGGUGGGAUCUCACAACCGUUCCUCAUCCAUUGAACAGCCCGCCUAUCAAAGCUGUACUUCUCCAAGUUAGAGACAAGGAUGUUGUUGGGGCCAAAUGCCUCACUGAAGCCCAAGCAGAUGACAUCAGUGGCUCUUCCAUUGCCCGUGGACACAGUUAUGCCAUCUGGUUGGAAAUGUUGGUUUCAAAUACUUCAAAGUGAACAUUUGGAGUUUUCAUAGCAAGAUGACAGUUUUGGUCCAAAUUGAAUCACACUGAUUUUAUAUAUAUAUAUUUUAUGCUAAUAAGUAAAUCCUCAGGGAAAUCUCUUCCACUCCAAAUGUGGACUGAAGGAAAUUGACAAACUCCAAAUGCUUCUCAGGGCUUUGUUUCUUGCUGCUGUUCGAUUUGAUAUCAUCAGUUUUGGAUAAAAAUGGGGUUUUAUUGGUUAUUUUGGUUAGAAAUGCUGAAAUGUUUCCUAGAGACAAGCCAGGCUCCAAGAAAUUUUCACCUGGGAGA